AGGCCUAACACAUGCAAGUCGAGCGCGAAAGCACUUCGGUGUGAGUAGAGCGGCGGACGGGUGAGUAACGCGUAGGAAUCUACACGGUAGUGGGGGACAACUCGGGGAAACUCGAGCUAAUACCGCAUACGCCCUGAGGGGGAAAGCGGGGGACCAUUGGGCCUCGCGCUAUCGGAUGAGCCUGCGUUGGAUUAGCUGGUUGGUGGGGUAAAGGCCUACCAAGGCGACGAUCCAUAGCUGGUCUGAGAGGAUGAUCAGCCACACCGGGACUGAGACACGGCCCGGACUCCUACGGGAGGCAGCAGUGGGGAAUAUUGCGCAAUGGGCGAAAGCCUGACGCAGCCAUGCCGCGUGUGUGAAGAAGGCCUUCGGGUUGUAAAGCACUUUCACUUGGGAGGAAACGUUGCAGGUUAAUACCCUGUAGCUUUGACGUUACCUUGAGAAGAAGCACCGGCUAACUCCGUGCCAGCAGCCGCGGUAAUACGGAGGGUGCGAGCGUUAAUCGGAAUUACUGGGCGUAAAGCGCGCGUAGGCGGUUUGUUAAGUCGGAUGUGAAAGCCCCGGGCUCAACCUGGGAAUUGCACCCGAUACUGGCCGACUGGAGUGCGAGAGAGGGAGGUAGAAUUCCACGUGUAGCGGUGAAAUGCGUAGAUAUGUGGAGGAAUACCGGUGGCGAAGGCGGCCUCCUGGCUCGACACUGACGCUGAGGUGCGAAAGCGUGGGGAGCAAACAGGAUUAGAUACCCUGGUAGUCCACGCCGUAAACGAUGUCGACUAGCCGUUGGGGAACUUGAGUCCUUGGUGGCGCAGUUAACGCGCUAAGUCGACCGCCUGGGGAGUACGGCCGCAAGGUUAAAACUCAAAUGACUUGACGGGGGCCCGGCACAAAGCGGUGGGAGCAUGUGGGUUUUAACUUCGGAUGCAACGGCGAAGAACCCUUACCAGGGCUUGACAUCCCCGGAAUCCUGCAGAGAUGCCGGGGAGUGCAUUCGGG
rnacentral:rRNA from 1 species